CCCUUUCUGAAAAGCACUUGCUGGGCCUUGUUUUCCUGUGGCCCAGGGAGUUGUCGUGGAAGGAUACAGAAGAGGCACUCCCUGUGGGUGAGGUGGCAGCUGGUGCUGUUACGCCUCAAUCGGUGGUGCCACAGAU